AAAUCAAGUGAACUGGAAAACGCAAAAGAAAUUUAACCGUACCGGAAACCGCCACUGGUGAAGGAGUAGAAAUCUACAAAGGUGAUCGAAAGAACCAUUUUUAAGGAACUCGGCAAAAUGACCCCGUAACUUAGGAAGAAGGGGGACCUUAAAUGCCUAGGGUUAUUUAAGGUGGCACGAAAUCGGGGGUAGCAACUGUUUACCAAAAACACAAGACUUUGCUAAGUUGUAAAACGCUGUAUAAGGUCUGACACCUGCCCGGUGCUGCAAGCUAAAAGGGAAAGGUGAAAUUUAUUCUAUCGAAUAGAUGGAGCUUUGAACUGAUUGUCCAGUAAACGGCGG
rnacentral:rRNA from 1 species